GCAACCAUUAUCAGUUGGUAGAGCAUGAGACUCUUAAUCUCAGGGUCGUGUGUUGGAGCCCCACGUUGGGCA